GCUACACAUGCAGUCGAACGGCAGCACAGGAGAGCUUGCUCUCUGGGUGGCGAGUGGCGGACGGGUGAGGAAUACAUCGGAAUCUACCUUUUCGUGGGGGAUAACGUAGGGAAACUUACGCUAAUACCGCAUACGACCUACGGGUGAAAGUGGGGGACCGCAAGGCCUCACGCGAUUAGAUGAGCCGAUGUCCGAUUAGCUAGUUGGCGGGGUAAUGGCCCACCAAGGCGACGAUCGGUAGCUGGUCUGAGAGGAUGAUCAGCCACACUGGAACUGAGACACGGUCCAGACUCCUACGGGAGGCAGCAGUGGGGAAUAUUGGACAAUGGGCGCAAGCCUGAUCCAGCCAUACCGCGUGGGUGAAGAAGGCCUUCGGGUUGUAAAGCCCUUUUGUUGGGAAAGAAAUCCUGUCGAUUAAUACUCGGUGGGGAUGACGGUACCCAAAGAAUAAGCACCGGCUAACUCCGUGCCAGCAGCCGCGGUAAUACGAAGGGUGCAAGCGUUACUCGGAAUUACUGGGCGUAAAGCGUGCGUAGGUGGUGGUUUAAGUCUGCUGUGAAAGCCCUGGGCUCAACCUGGGAAUUGCAGUGGGUACUGGAUCACUAGAGUGUGGUAGAGGGAUGCGGAAUUUCUGGUGUAGCAGUGAAAUGCGUAGAGAUCAGAAGGAACAUCCGUGGCGAAGGCGGGCAUCCUGGGCCAACACUGACACUGAGGCACGAAAGCGUGGGGGAGCAAACAGGAUUAGAUACCCUGGUAGUCCACGCCCUAACGAUGCGAACUGGAUGUUGGGUGCAACUUGC
rnacentral:rRNA from 1 species